rfam:Pteropus alecto contig166478, whole genome shotgun sequence.
AUGGAGACAUGGCAUAAAGCCAAAGAGAGUGAGAGACAUUAACUCAUUCGGCUGUAACUUGAAUUGAUUCACAUCUCAUUUU